UUAACGAUUUAUAGUUAUUAUUCAGACGACAUAGUUAUAAAAAGGAUUUUAAGAAGGCUACUGGCAGGCACUGACUAGAGGCAUAAAAGUCUCCAGCGGCCCCGAAAGGCGGGCCCACCAAAGCAACAUGGUAUAGUAAACAAAGGGUUGGAGGUCGGGCCCAGAAGACCCUAACUCGGUAAUGAUCCUUCCGCAGGUUCACCUACGGAAA
rnacentral:misc_RNA from 1 species